rfam:Daphnia pulex DAPPTscaffold_1369_Cont12665, whole genome shotgun sequence.
GGGGUUGUAACUCAGAGGUAGAGUGCUCGCUUCGCAUGUGAGAAGACCGGUGUUCAAUCCUCCGCAACUCCA